GGGGACAUAGCUCAGCUGGGAGAGCAACAGACUGAAGUGGAGGCGCGAUGUUCCAAUUCUUCUGGAGGUCCCCAGUUCAAUCCUGGGUGUCCCCA